GGGAGUGAAUUUUCUUGAGCUUUAUUUGUGGUUUGCAAUUUUAUUAAGUAACUUUUUCGUAACACACACACUCAUACACACACUCACACUCACUCACACUCACAUUCACACACACUCACAUAGACACACACACACACACAUACACAUUCACACCCACACACACUCUCAAACUAACAUUCACAUUGAUAUGUAUAUGAAUGCAUAGGUGGCUGUUGCAGCCAAGAAGGUAAAUGUACAGAUCCCCCCCUCCCCUCCCCUCCUUUUUUAUUAUUUUAGAGAUUAUUUGUUUAGAUAUCACCUCUAAUCUGACAAGCCUACGCGAAUUUCCAUAUUACUUUGUAUGAAUUAGGCAUAAAAAUGGGUUUUUUCCCUUGAUGAAUCGAGUAUGCUAAAUACCCAAUUGUGAUAGUCCAUCUAAAUUUUUUAUCUUAUUUGUACUUGUUUUUAUUAUUAUUGAUGAGCUUCAUCUUUAUCGAGUUUGCUUGUAAAUCAACAAGCAUGGAAGCAACUUAUCAUCGAGGCAGAGCUCUUUACGUUCUUCGAUAUUUGCGAUCUUUGUCUUGCAAGCUUGAUUUGCUUAAUGGUUCUUUCUUCUUUAAUAUUGUACUGCUCUUCCUUCUUUUAUGCAAAUAUGGAGUGAAUAAAAUUACAAACCACAAGUAAAGCUUCAAAAACUGAACUUUUUCUUGACACACACACACUCUUGCGUCUUUCUUGCAAAUAUGGAGUGAAUUUUUAAGAGCUUUACUUGUGGUUUGCAAUUUUAUUAACUUUUUCUUAACUGUACAAUACAUUAGUUAUCAACUAAAUAUACAAUUAUUAGUGUGUAAAAAAUACAUUUUUAUGUGUGUAUGUAUCUGUGUGAUGUCAGUAUAUAUACGAUGUGUAUAUACAGAUAUAUGUGUAUGUGUAAAGUACAUAACUGUAUAUAUACAGUGGCACUACAAUAUAUAUUUCUAUAUACCUUGAUGUAUAUUAUCAUUUUUACAUUUAUUAUCAGUUUAUAUAGUUAUUGACGUAUAUGUAUACUGAUUUAUAUAUUACAUACACAUACACUCACACUCACAUUCGUACACACACUCACACUCACACUCACACUCACACUCACACACUCACACUCACACACACACUCACACUCACACUCACACACUUACACUCACCCUCACACACACACACUCACACACACACACACUGACAUACAUUGACCCUGAAACUGACACUGACACUGACACUGACACUCGCACAAACACACACUCGCACUCACUCUCACUCCUACCCAAAGUCACACUCACACUCACUCACCGAUAUAUAUACUACACAUAUGUGUUGUGUUUGGUAUGAUGUUUGUAUAUAUACGAUAUGUAUAUACUGAUAUAUUUAUACGUGUAUGUAUAUAGUUGCUUGCUAUUAGUUUCUUACAUUGAUAAGUGCCU
rnacentral:lncRNA from 1 species